rnacentral:tRNA from 1 species
ACCUCGGUAGCUUAAUUGGUUAAGCACGCGCCUGUUAAGCGCGAGGAUGCUGGUUCGAAUCCAGCCCGAGGUGCCA